CCUACGGGUGGCUGCUGUGAGGAAUUUUUGUCAAUGGGCGAGAUCCUGAACCAGCCAAGCCGCGUGAGGGAAGACGGCCCUAUGGGUUGUAAACCUCUUUUGUCGGAGAACAAAAACUGGGACGUGUCACGGCCUUCGUGUAUCCGUACAAUAAGAAUAGGCUACCUCCGUGCCAGCAGCCGCGGUCAUACGGAGGAUGCGAGCGUUAUCCGGAUUUAUUGGGUUUAAACGGUGCGUAGGCGGUCCAUUAAGUCAGCGGUAAAAUGGAGGGGCUAAACCCCGGCGAGCCGUUGAAACUGGAAGACUAGAGUUGGCGAGAAGGACGUGGAAUGCGAGGUGGAGCGGUGAAAUGCAUAGAUAUCGCGCAGAACUCCAGUUGCGAAGGC
rnacentral:rRNA from 1 species